GGAUAUCAGGGCGAUCUGGCCGGGACACCUGUCACCCCACUCAUCACCAGGAUCAUCAGCUGAUCUGGUUGGCGAGGCAGGUGUCCCCUCCUUUCCUGCCUGCUCCAUGUGCAUCCUUCCUGAAGCUAUGAGCUCAGUCAAAGGAAAAGAGAACUACCGUAUUAUCCAGAAAUUCCAUUCCUGGGCAUCUAUCCAGAGAAAAUUCUAAUUCAAAAAGACACAUGCAUU
rnacentral:snRNA from 1 species